rnacentral:rRNA from 1 species
UACGUAGGGGGCUAGCGUUGUCCGGAAUCAUUGGGCGUAAAGAGCGUGUAGGCGGUCCGGUAAGUCCGCUGUGAAAGUCGGGGGCUCAACCCUCGAAUGCCGGUGGAUACUGUCGGGCUAGAGUGCGGAAGAGGCGAGUGGAAUUCCUGGUGUAGCGGUGAAAUGCGCAGAUAUCAGGAGGAACACCAAUUGCGAAGGCAGCUCGCUGGGACGUAACUGACGCUGAGACGCGAAGGCGUGGGGAGCGAACGGG